rnacentral:rRNA from 1 species
CCGGGAAUCUUGCGCAAUGGGCGAAAGCCUGACGCAGCGACAUCGCGUGAAGGAUGACGGUCCUCGGAUUGUAAACUUCAAUAGUCUAUUAAAAAAUCUUGAUUGAUAGAUGAAAGCCCUGGCUAACCACGUGCCAGCAGCCGCGGUAAUACGUGGAGGGCUAGCGUUACCCGGAUUUAUUGGGCGUAAAGAGCGUGUAGGCGGUUUUGUAAGUGAGAGGUGAAAGCUUUGGGCUCAACCCAAAAAUUGCUUCUCAAACUGCAAAACUAGAGAUUAAGAGGGGUAACCGGAACUCGUGGUGUAGGGGUGAAAUCCGUUGAUAUCACGAGGAACGCCGAAAGCGAAAGCAGGUUACUAGCUUAAUUCUGACGCUGAGACGCGAAAGCGUGGGUAGCGAACCGG